UGCACAGCUGACAGACUCACAGCUCUACCUGCAGGGAGACAUGGAGGGCCAGUGCUCCUCCACGGUCGCCAGGCUGCUCAGGCUGCCUGUUAAGCUGCUGCCUCGGCUGGCUAAGGUUCCUCUCUCCUCCAUGAGCCAACGCAUGGCCUCGAUCCCUUCAUGCAAGGCCACCAGCUGACGGAGAAUCCUCACAUCGGCAGAUCGGAGCCACCUCUGAGGGGAGACAGCAUUUAGUUAAGCCAGGUGGAAGCUGAAUUAGUGAGGAUGACUCCUGCUCCUGUCAUCUCUAAGCUCCUCACACAUCUUUACCUGCACAUGAGGAAAAUCACUCCUGUAGAAUGCAGUCUGUAGCUGCUGAAUUCAUGGAUGAAUCAUCUGGCACUAGAGAGGAAGACCAUCAAACAUCCACGUCAGCUGAUGGAGGUCCAAGAGUCUCACCCAACAAACAACCUACAGAGUGAAGACCUCAAAUCUGAUUGGACGGCCUCCUAUUCAGCCACAUGUGUGAACAAAUGCCUCUAAGCUGAUUUGUUUUCUAACAUAAAUCUAGUCUGAGUCCUCAUCUAUGCCUGUGUGUUUGCUUCUUUACACCGUUGUUAACAGUUUAGGCUGUUAGAUUGUUCCAGAUAAGACAAGUAAAAGAUACUUCAGAGCCGUUCUACC